GUUGUUGUAUACAAAACCCACACCGAGUAACAAUUGGAGGGCAAGUCUGGUGCCAGCAGCCGCGGUAACACCAGCUCCAAUAGCGUAUAUUAAAGUUGUUGCACUUAAAAAGCUCGUAGUCAGACUGCCGAGGGCACCCCUGCUGUGGCGCCGACCAGCUCUUGGAGUCCCGGUCGAUUACGCCCUCAGGGCGUCCCUCCUGGACCCCGCCCGACCUCAUAUGCUGGAGCCGUUCCUCCCAUGGAGCGAACGCGUUUUCAGCACGGGCAUGUUCCUGUGAGCAAAUCAGAGUGUUCCAAGCAGGCGCUUUGCGCUCUCUGCAUGGUUGAGCAUGGAAUGACAACGCGGGACUCCGGUUGCGCUUUGUUGGUGGAGCCGACUGGAGGACAUGGUUAAUAGGGACAGUUGGGGGCAUUUGUAUUUCCAUGUCAGAGGUGAAAUUCUAGGAUUAUGGAAAGACAAACUGCUGCGAAAGCGUUUGCCAAGGAUGUUCCCGUUGAUCAAGAACGAAAGUUAGGGGAUCGAAGACGAUCAGACACCGUCCUAGUCCUAACCGUAAACGAUGCCGACUGGGGAUUGGAGAAUGUAUCGAUCAUUAUGACUCCUUCAGCACCCUUCCGGGAAACCAAAGUCUUUGGGUUGUGGGGGGAGUAUGGUCGCAAGGCUGAAACUUAAAGGAAUUGACGGAACUCUACCACCAAUGGAGGAGCCUGCGGCUUAAUUCGACCCAACUCGGGAAACCUUACCAGGUCCAGACAUAGGGAGGAUGGACAGAUUGAGAGCUCUUUCUUGAUUCUAUGGGUGGUGGUGCAUGGCCGUUUCUAGUUGGUGGAGUGAUUUGUCUGGUUAAUUCCGAUAACGAACGAGACCUCUGCCUGCUAACUAGCGUGGCUUAUCCUUACGGAUAGGUUCCAAAAGUCAAGCGCUUCUUAGAGGGAUUCCUGACUACAAGUCGGGUGAAACGAGAGGCUAGAACAGGUCUGUGAUGCCCUUCGAUGUUCUGGGCCGCACGCGCGCUACACUGACGGAGGCAACGAGCGUGUCCUUGACCGAAAGGUCCCGGGGAACCUUAACAAACUUCGUCGUGCUGGGGAUAGACCAUUGCAAUUAUUGGUCUUCAACGAGGAUUCGUUAGUAAUCGCGUGUCAUCAUCGCGCGAUGACUACGUCCCUGGAGUUUGUACACACCGCCCGUCGCUCCUACCGAUUGGAUGAUGCGGUGAAAUCUUCGGACCGACUAGUGGCUUGCAUGGCGUCUUGCGGCGUCUCCCGUGUUGGGAAGUUGAUUGAAUCUUAUCAUCUAGAGGAAGGAGAAGUCGUAACAAGGUAUCCGUAGGUGAACCUGCGGAUG
rnacentral:rRNA from 1 species